rnacentral:misc_RNA from 1 species
UCAGUUUCAAGAUUUCUGCCUCAGCGUCGUUGGAUAGUGGUGAGCAAUCCUAGCUUGUGUUCAAUCAUUUCAAAAUGGCUUGGGACAGAAGCAUGGAUCCGUAAUGUUGACCUCAUAGCAGGUUUAAGAGAAUAUGCAGAAGAUCCUGAUUUACACACUGAAUGGAAGAAUAUGAAGAGAGUUAACAAAAUGAGGCUUGCUG